UCCUGGCUGAGGGUCUAG
rnacentral:rRNA from 7 species